rnacentral:rRNA from 1 species
GGUCAGAACGAACGCUGGCGGCGCGUCUUAAGCAUGCAAGUCGAACGGCAAGAGGUAGCAAUACCUCCUAGAGUGGCGGACUGGUGAGUAACACGUGGGUGACAUACCCUUCAGAUGGGGAUAGCUAUUAGAAAUAGUAGAUAAUACCGAAUACGAGCACAGGGGUUAGAGAUCUGUGAGGAAAGGAGCUAAGGCUCCGCUGAAGGAAUGGCCUGCGGCCCAUUAGCUAGUUGGUGAGGUAAGAGCCCACCAAGGCGAUGAUGGGUAUCCGGCCUUAGAGGGUGAACGGACACAUUGGGACUGAGAUACGGCCCAGACUCCUACGGGAGGCAGCAGCUAAGAAUAUUCCGCAAUGGACGAAAGUCUGACGGAGCGACGCCGCGUGGAUGAAGAAGGCCGGAAGGUUGUAAAAUCCUUUUGAAACUGAAGAAUAAGCGUUGUAGGGAAUGACAGCGUGGUGACAGUAGGUUUUGAAUAAGCAACGGCUAAUUACGUGCCAGCAGCAGC